rnacentral:rRNA from 12 species
GUUAUCCGGAAUCAUUGGGCGUAAAGCGCCUGUAGGUUGUUUAGUAAGUCGCCU